GAACUCCUGAUGAGAGUUUUUAUCAUGAAUGAUUGUUGGAUUUUGUCAAAUGCUUUUUCUGUGUCUAUUGAGAUAAUCUUAAGAUUUUUAUCUUUCAGGCAUAAGUUGCCUGAGGCUCCCAGGAGGGGAGAGAAAACAGCAGCGUGAACCCCCAUCUCCAGCCUGAUCUCUGGGAGCCCAGCCAGCCUCUCCCUUGGACAGGACUCCCCCUGGAUGUGCCCCAACCCCAGGGCUGCCCCCACAACUGCAGGUCACCAGGGCUCCUCCUAAGGGCCUCCCUGCCACGCUCUGAAACCGUGGCUGGGCAUCAUCAGGUCCAUAAGACCUGUAAGCUGCCUUCACCCGCCAAGCUCCCUUUAAGUGUUUCUAUAAACACCUGUUAGGCACUUAGCCUAAACAGGCAUUUGCCUGAGUUCUUUCCUGGGGAACUUGGCAUCCGUGGUGUCCAGUUCGAGCUGAGCUUGUUGAGUGAUGAGCACCACUGACCCUCUAACUGAAACCGUAAGCCAGCAGGAAGAAAGCCAAACUCUGACAGCCAGAGUUUGCAGCAAAGUAAGGAGGUUAUUUGGCAGGGCACCCAGCUAGGGAGUGGGAGGAAAGCCUGGAAUCCACUCCCACGUGGUCUCUGAGUUUGUGAAGAGGAAGACGUGAGGAGCUGGGGUUAAUGAUCUGAAUCAUCUGUGACCCUGUGUGUGUCUCCAUAACCUGUAAAGGCCACUUUGCGCUGGAAGAUAACUCAACCCCACAUCAACCCCUAACAAUGUUUACCAGAAAACUGUGGCUCAAAGCAGCUGCCCUUCAUUACUCCAUAUUGACGAGGCCAACGUGAUCCAACAGGCGGAGCCAGAACAGAAAGGGACCAAAGAGGAACAAGGAAGAUGAGAAUAGAAACCUGGGGUUGCUUGUAAUUAUUGACUAGUCAGAGGGCAUGGCUCCUGACCAGGGGAGCUACAUCUGGGGGACCAGGAGCUACAUCUCAGAACGUGGAGAAGCCUGGAUCUUGAUGGCGCCCUCGCAGAAGGGCAGCCCCACCGUUUUCUUAUUUCCAAUCACCUUGCCCCACCCUCCCCAAAUCUCAGCUCCAUCCCAUAAAUACCCCAGGCCCCGCCUUCAGGUUGGAGGUUUCUUAAAUGCGCCUUUCCUGUGCUGCAAGUUUCUGGCCUCUUAGCGUUUGGCCCCGUGAACGUGUCUGCCUCUGCUCUGUCCCCAGGCUUGCAGUCAGAGCGCUUGGUGAGCCAACUCGGGAUUGUCAUGAAGUGUACCUGAGUGUCAUUGGAUUUAUCCUAUUUGGAACUCUGAGGACUUCAUGGAUUCUUUCCCCAGGUACAGAAGCUCUACUCAGCUCUUUCUGUAACAGGACUGGCAACCACUGCUUAAGAUCCUAUGAUAAAUAAGCACAGCAAUGACUAAAAAUAAUGAAAAUAAAUGGGAGAUUUGUUUAGUUCUUCUAGUACCUACACAGAAUAUCCUUACAUACA